GGGGCCGUAGCUCAGUUGGGAGAGCGCAGCAAUCGCACUGCUGAGGUCGGCGGUUCGACCCCGCCCGGCUCCACCA
rnacentral:tRNA from 1 species